AUGGAUUCUAUCUCCUAUAAUCAGACUCAAACCGGAAGUGUCUCAAGGGAAAGAGAGAGGUGUGGGUGGAGGAAGAAUUCAAAGAGUGUUUCAGCUGCAGUCAUGUCAUUAAUACAACUUCUGAUCCACACCUCACGCUCCUUUUAUUCAAAGAAGCUACCCAGUUGUUACCUACUUCAAGAUGAAAGGACAUGGAUGAAUCUGGAGAACAUCAUUCUCAGCAAACUGACACAAGAACAGAAAAUGAACACCGCAUAUUCUCACUCAUAGGUGGGUGAUGAAAAAUGAGAACACAUGGACACAGAGAGGGGAGUACUAAACACUGGGGUCUAUUGGGGGGAAAAGGGGAGGGCCAGUGGGAGG
rnacentral:lncRNA from 13 species